GUCAGGAUGGAGGACCAUACCACCACACCCAACUCAGGACACUCCCAACCACAGGCCUCCAGUCCUGAUACACCAGAGGAGCAGGAGGACGGGAGGCUGUCGCUACCGAGUCAGCACUAACCCCAGAGCACGCCCCUCAUCGCACCGCACCGCACAGCACAGCGCACGCACCACAGCCCCCUUUGGAAAGAGCACAGUUUUGUGCACGGAGGAUUGUGGUUAAGGAGUGUCUUUUUGUUUGUUAUUUUUGGAACGUGGACCUUGUUUUGUUUUGCCCCGAUUACCAUCGCUGGUAUCGGGGUGUAUUAUUUUUCUGUUUGGAUUAUUUUUGUGAAUAUUUCUGUUUUUGUUUGGAUUAUUGAAUUAUUUAU